GCCAAUACCAGUCCAUUUCAGCUCACUAAUGCCUAGGAUAUGGAUGUUUAUGCAUUACAUUUUAUUUUUGAUGAUUUCCAAUUUUCCCAUAUUCAUACUUCAUACAUUCCAGGUUCUAAUUAUUAAUGGAUGUUUGUAGCUGUUUCUUCUCAUUUUGUGUCAUGCCACAUCAGAAAUGCAGGUCCUGAAAGCUUUACUCCACCCACGUCAUUAAGGUCGACUUUAAGGAGGCAGCUCUUCCCCAGUCAUCUUUUGAGUGCCUUCCAACCUGGGGGGCUCAUCUUCCAGCACUAUAUCAGAAAAUGUUCUAGUGUUAUUCAUAAGGUUUUCACUGGCUAAUACUUUUCAGAAGUAGACUGCUGUGUCUUUCUUCCUAGGCUGUCUUAGUCUGGAAGCUCAGCUGAAACCUGUCCUCCAUGGGUGACCCUGUUGGUAUCUGAAUACUGGUGGCAUAGCCUUCAGCACCACAGCAACAUGAAAUCUCCCACAGUAUGAUGAACUGACAGACACAAAUUAGCAUAUGAUAAUAUAAUAUGUGAUUUUUGGGGCUUCUAUUUCUACUUUUUCUUGAAUAUGCUUAUUGUUCCCAUUGUUACUGACUAUUGUGCCAUCUCCUUGUAUGUCCAGUAACUUUUAUUCUAGGAUGUCAAUUUUAAUAGGAAAUAUUUGUGAGAUAACUUAUUGAUGUUUCGGAAGUACAUUCAUUUGAAAAAUGUUUGCCUUUUUUUAUAUAAUGGAGCCAGGAUUCCUGAGUGGAGCAAAUGGUAAGCACUCAACUACUUGUCCAAAGGUUAGAGGUUCACAUCUACUCAGAGGCACCUAAGAAGACAAGCCUUGAGAUUUGCUUUCAAAGCAUCAGCCUUGAAAACCCUAUGGAGCAGUUCUGCUCUAUAUACAUGGGGUCACUAAGAGUCAGAAUCAACAGCAACUUACAAUGACCACAAAGUAAUUCCUAAUUUUUGAAGUUUUUAAACUAAAUUUCAGUUUGAGGUUUCCUAGAAAACUGGUUGGAAUAAAUUUUUGUGGAAGUAAUCAAGAGAAUCAGCAUGUGGUUACAACCUCUGGGUAGGGCUUUAGAUUUUGUUCUUAUUCUGUCCAGGGCAGGGCCAAAUUUCUUGUAGUCUAAGGAAUGUGGGGGAUGUGGAGCAGGUUUACCACUGAUGCACCUCGACUCUGAAGAUUUAGCUUUUUAGGAUCCCUUAUCCUAUUUACUUUCAUUUCGAUGGAAUAUUGGCUUUUUUUUUUUUUUCUUUUGAGAUCCUCAAUAUCAUAAAAGUAUAAAGCUAUCUAGUUUUGACAAUACUGCUUCAGUGUUCUUCAUCCUUCCCUGGCUUCCUUCCUGCACUCAGAUAUUAGACUGAUCUUUUCUUACUCCUUACUGAACUCUCUCUUCCCCCAAAUCUUUGGUAAUCUAAUAAGAAAAGUUAUAUUUUUAGUUGAUUUAGAAAGCAGGAUUUCAAAAAUCCCUAGCCAUUCAUGAUGCCAGAAAUCUUUAGCACUUUUUUUUAUAUUCUUAUAUAUGUAUUCAAUCAUAUAUAUAAAACAAUAUAUAUGAUUGAAUACAUAUAUAAAAGAAAACAAAAAAACAAACCCAUUGCUGUCGAGUUGAUUCCGACUCACAGUGACCCGAUAGGACAGAGUGGAACUGCCCAACAGAGUUUCCAAGGAGUGCCUGGUAGAUUUGAACUGCUGACCUUUUGGUUAGCAGCUGUAGAACUUAACCACUAUGCCACCAUGGUUUCCUAAAUACAUACAAAAAAAUUUUUUUUUUUUUACAUAUAAAGGGUAGAAUAAUUAAUAUUCAAUGUCAGUUCACUUUAAUGUCCUUAUUGUUUAUUUUAGUAUUAUAAGACUUUAAAGCUCAUCUCAGACAUGUUGAGAAUUAAAUGAGCUUAAGUCCUCAGAGAACAAAGGUCCUAGGACAAACAGCCAUCUUGAAGAAAGACAGGUGUCUGCAAAGAGAUACAAAACUUGAGCAUUUCACGACUGAGGCAGAAGACUCCUGACAUCAUAUAGUGAAACCUGUGAGAGCUGGAACUCGACAGGACUCCCUUGUUUUUCUGGAUCUCACAAGUUUUCUGCCUUUGACAGGGUGUAGUCUUCCACUCUUUUAUUGUUCUCUGUUAGUAGAAAAUAUUUGACUUGCCCUUCUCUGAUGAGUUUCUGCCUUACACAGGUUCCUGCUUUCAUGGGUUUUACUGUUUAAAUACUAAACUAAAAUUUUUGGUGAAUUGUUAUGGGUAAGCCAAGUAUGGGUUAGCCAGACGGAAUGUAAAACUCCUGGGGAUCACACUCAUGGAAGGAUUCCGACCCUUUUUCAGGCUUUUCCUCCAGGAACUUCAUCAUAUUCUCACAGAGGAGAUCAGGGUGAACCCAGAGAAACCCCCUCACCUCCCCACCGCACACCCCCGGUGCUGGUGUGGAAAACAAAAAAUGCCCACUGUGAAACCUGGCCAGAUUCUUCUGCCUAGCGUGGCUCUGAGAAUUGACAAGACAACAACAGUUUUUGUUUUUGUUUUUGUUUCUUAGUGGAAUAAAAGGCUUACUCUGUAGGGAAGGUUUAAUCUUCCCCAGAAGACCUGGGAGAAGGGAACUUCAUCCAACCCCAGCCUCCCUGUCUCACAGGAGUAAAAAAAGAGUCUUAAUCUGCAGGGGAGGACAUCAAGGCCAUAGACUGAGAACACAGGAGGACAGGCACUACAGCUGAGGAAGGGAAGAGGGAACAGGGGGAUAAAAGCUCUAACCCUGGAAAGGGGCAGGAAUACAUGUGAAGUCCAUAACCUUAAAGCAUUACAAAGACUGAGUCUUAAUCAGAAGAUUAGAGAAAUUCCUGUCCCCUUCCACACAUACCUUCAUGCUAACCAGCCUCCAGUAAUAAUAAUAGAUUGAAGCUGAGAGCUGCAAGAGAUUUUCUUUGAGAAACAACACAUAGGGAUGACCCAACGCCAAGAGUAAAAAUAAGGUUACUAGAGGAAUUGGAAGUCUCUGAUGUUCACAGAUACAAGAGACAUCAAACACAGUUCAAUUCUUCCCUGGAGUGGUGGGAACAUAAUUCUCCACACUAAAAAUUUAUUUACCUCAUUAUAUGCUGCCCUAUACAAAAUGUCAGUCAAUAAAAAAAAAUUAUAUAUAUAUAUAUAUAUGGUUUGCCAGAAUGAAAGAAAAAAAGAGUCUGAAGAGACAGAAGAACAAUUUUUACAAUUAGACUCAGAUAUGAUACAGAUGUUGGAAUUAUAAGACAGAGGAUUUAAUAUAACUGUGAUUAAUAUCUUAAAGUCUAUGACAGAAAAGUUAGGCAACAUGCAAGAUAAGAUAGGUAAUUUUAAGAGAGAGAUGGAGAGUAUAGCAAAGAAUAGUUGGAAAUGCUAGAAAUAAAAACACAAUACAAGACAUGAAGAAUGCUUUCAAUAAAGUUCAUCAGCAGAUUUAACAAAGCUGAGGAAAGAAUAAAUAAACUUAAAAGCAGGUCAAUAAAAUUUCCCGAGGUGAUAUACAAAGAGAGAAAGAAAGAGGGAAAAGAGUGAAACAAUAAAAAACAAAGUAUCCUAGAGCUGUGACAAUAUUGAAAGGUAUAACAUAUGUUUGAUUGGAAUGCAGAAAUAAAGGAGAAUAAAGCUCAAGAAAUAUAUAUAUUUUUAAAAUGGCUAGAAAUUUACCAUAAUUAGUGACAGACACCAAGCCACAGAUCUAAGAAGCCCAGAGAACACCAAGCACGAUAAAUUGCAAAGAAAAACAACAGCAACACAAAAGACCUAUAUCUAGGCGUAUCAUGUUAGAAUUGCAGAACACUCAAGAAAAAGAAAAUAUUUUCAAGGUAGCAAUUGUGAGGGGACAUCUUAACUACAGAAUUCUACAUUUAUAAAAAUUAAUAAUAUUCAAAAGUGAAGAAGACUUUUUCAGGUGUAGAAAAUCAGAGAAAAUUUAUCGUCAGCCAACCACCCUAUAAGAUAAGUCAAGGAAGGAAAUUCUUCAUAUAGAAGGAAUAUGAAUGAGUAACAUCAGAAACUUGGAUCUACAUAGAGAAAUGAGGAACAUUGAAAAUGGAAUAAAUGAAGGUUAUGUAUAUUUUGCAUGUAUGUGUAUAAAUAUACAUAUAUCCCACACGUGUGUGUGUAUAAUACACACAUAUAAAGAUAUGUGUGUGUAUAUAUAUAGGCUUUUAAAGAUAGCUGACUGUUUAAGGCAAUAACCGUAAUGAUGUAUUGGCUGUUUAUAUAUAUAUAUAUACACAUAUAAGAAGAACAGGGACACAAGAGAUGAGAGGGAAGGAUUUAUAAUAUUAUUUUAAUAUUAUAAAAGUAUGUACAAAUGGAAAUGUAAUUAGUUGAUAUUUUAUUAACUAAUAAAUUUGUUUCAUCAGUAAACAUUCACGUUAAACAGAAGAGUCGAUUCCUAUUCCUGUGUGCCAUUUAUUCCUAAUCUCCAGAAGAUAAGUAAGUUUGGAACUGAGCAAUGAAAGCAAAGGCAGUCUACCAACAUUCAAGUGUUUGUGCAGAGGGGAAUAAUUAGUCCUAGACUAAACACUAUUCUAGUCUGGCCUAGCCAUUUGUGAAAACAAGACCCCAGUGGAGCAAACUUUUCAAGCAUCUCACUUCAUCCCAGAGCAAAGUUCAAGAAUAUUUAUAUAAACACGAAAAUAUCCAGCCCCCAAUAAGUUUUCUGUUGAUGUACUGCUGCAACCGCUUUUGAGUGAUCUUCAGCAAAAUUUUACUUGCCUGUGAUAUUAGUGGUAUUGUUCCAUGACUUCUACAUUCCAUUGGAUCAUCUUUCUUUGGAACGGGCACAAAUAUGGAUCUCUUCCAGUUGAUUGGCCAGGUAACUGUCUUCCAAAUUUCUUUAAUAAAAAAAUUAUUAACAAUUAUUAGGGAUUAACUGUGAAAGGGAUUAACUGUAAAAAGAAAACUCUAAAGAAUACUCUGAGAUUACAGGAGAGAAAGGAAGAGGACAUAAACUUAGAAAGGGACCUCUUUCCCCAAAGGCAGAAAUUCGGACCUCAUUAGAGGAGGUAGAGUUGCAAAUCACUGAAUGAAGGAGAAAUGUGCUGGGUUACCCCCAUCCCAGAGCUAGUUCGUAGUCACCAACCAUUUACAGAAAGUCAAGAAAAUUUGGCGUGGGACUUACAUGUGUUUCACCGUGAUGCCAGUGGUCCUAAUAGACUGGUGGGCAGGGAACUGAAGUCCAGACUGACAAGCAGGAAACCUCCCACUGAAGAGCGGGCAGGCCAGCCCCUUUGGCAGAAAUCUACGGGCCAGCAAUCCAGAACCCAUUCUCUUCUCCUCCAUUGGAAUGCAGUAGACUUAGGCUGCAAAAUCACCCCUGGGGCAACCAUGAAACCCAUUGGCACCUGCCCACAGGGGAACAGCUGAAAUUCCAUGUGGAAAGUCAUCUACUGAAAACGGAUGGUGAUAAUCACCUCUGGUCCCCUGCAUGUUCUCCUGGUAGCUAAGAGUAGAAUAAAGGAAAACAAGCAUACCAGCGACAGGAUGAGAAUCUCUUCUUCCUGCAGUUUCCCUUCAGGAUCCUUCACUGACAGAGCUUACUAUCCUGCCAGCUGCAAAGGAGAAAGGCUUAUAAGGUCCAGCUCCGUUAUUACAGAGCAGGAUAUGAACGGUAGAUUUGUAGCUGAGAGAAAAUUCGUUGGUAACUUAUACUUCUGGUGAACUAAUUACCCAUCCAUAAUAUUUCCAAGAUUUUCUUUUAAUCUCAUGUUGAAAUGAAAAAUUGAGCUUUAAAAACAUUUCAUUAUAUUCUACAGGAAAAACUAUAAGUUCCCCUGAGGUACAUAUUAAAAUUCAUUACAUUAAUCUAUUAACUUUUUUUAAAAUAAUUUUUAUUGUGCUUUAAUUGAAAGUUUACGAAUCAAGUCAGUCUUUCACACAAAAGCCCAUAUACACCUUGCUAAAACCCAAAAAACCAAACCCAGUGCCGUCUAGUCGGUUCGACUCAUAGCGACCCUAUAGGACAGAGUAGA